AUUGAACGCUGGCGGCAUGCCUUACACAUGCAAGUCGAACGGUAACAGGUCUUCGGAUGCUGACGAGUGGCGAACGGGUGAGUAAUACAUCGGAACGUGCCCGAGAGUGGGGGAUAACGAGGCGAAAGCUUUGCUAAUACCGCAUACGAUCUCAGGAUGAAAGCAGGGGACCGCAAGGCCUUGCGCUCACGGAGCGGCCGAUGGCAGAUUAGGUAGUUGGUGGGAUAAAAGCUUACCAAGCCGACGAUCUGUAGCUGGUCUGAGAGGACGACCAACCACGCUGGGACUGAGAGACGGCCCAGACUCCUACGGGAGGCAGCAGUGGGGUAUGUUGGACAAUGGGCGCAAGCCUGAUCCAGCCAUGCCGCGUGCAGGAUGAAGGCCUUCGGGUUGUAAACUGCUUUUGUACGGAACGAAAAGGCUCUGGUUAAUACCUGGGGUCCAUGACGGUACCGUAAGAAUAAGCACCGGCUAACUACGUGCCAGCCGCCGCGGUAACAC
rnacentral:rRNA from 1 species